AGAUGAAGAACGUAGUGAAAUGCGAUAAGUAAUGUGAAUUGCAGAAUUCAGUGAAUCAUCGAAUCUUUGAACGCACAUUGCGCCCGCCAGUAUUCUGGCGGGCAUGCCUGUUCGAGCGUCAUUUCAACCAUCAAGCCCCCGGGCUUGUGUUGGGGACCUGCGGCUGCCGCAGGCCCUGAAAAGCAGUGGCGGGCUCGCUGUCACACCGAGCGUAGUAGAUUUUAUCUCGCUCUGGGCGUGCUGCGGGUUCCAGCCGUUAAACCACCCUUUUAACCCAAGGUUGACCUCGGAUCAGGUAGGAAGACCCGCUGAACUUAAGCAUAUCAAUAAGCGGAGGA
rnacentral:misc_RNA from 1 species